GACAGAGGGGGCAAGCGUUGCUCGGAAUUACUGGGCGUAAAGGGCGCGUAGGCGGUUCGAUAAGUCCCGUGUGAAAUCCCUCGGCUCAACUGAGGAAUGGCACGGGAAACUGACGGGCUUGAGUUCGGGAGAGGGAAGCGGAAUUCCGGGUGUAGCGGUGAAAUGCGUAGAUAUCCGGAGGAACACCGGUGGCGAAGGCGGCUUCCUGGACCGACACUGACGCUGAGGCGCGAAAGCAUGGGGAGCGAACAGG
rnacentral:rRNA from 1 species